UCGAGCGGACAGAUGGGAGCUUGCUCCCUGAUGUUAGCGGCGGACGGGUGAGUAACACGUGGGUAACCUGCCUGUAAGACUGGGAUAACUCCGGGAAACCGGGGCUAAUACCGGAUGGUUGUCUGAACCGCAUGGUUCAGACAUAAAAGGUGGCUUCGGCUACCACUUACAGAUGGACCCGCGGCGCAUUAGCUAGUUGGUGAGGUAACGGCUCACCAAGGCGACGAUGCGUAGCCGACCUGAGAGGGUGAUCGGCCACACUGGGACUGAGACACGGCCCAGACUCCUACGGGAGGCAGCAGUAGGGAAUCUUCCGCAAUGGACGAAAGUCUGACGGAGCAACGCCGCGUGAGUGAUGAAGGUUUUCGGAUCGUAAAGCUCUGUUGUUAGGGAAGAACAAGUGCCGUUCAAAUAGGGCGGCACCUUGACGGUACCUAACCAGAAAGCCACGGCUAACUACGUGCCAGCAGCCGCGGUAAUACGUAGGUGGCAAGCGUUGUCCGGAAUUAUUGGGCGUAAAGGGCUCGCAGGCGGUUUCUUAAGUCUGAUGUGAAAGCCCCCGGCUCAACCGGGGAGGGUCAUUGGAAACUGGGGAACUUGAGUGCAGAAGAGGAGAGUGGAAUUCCACGUGUAGCGGUGAAAUGCGUAGAGAUGUG
rnacentral:rRNA from 1 species